rnacentral:piRNA from 1 species
UGGGAUGAGGUGGUACGGAAUCAAUGGU